CCUACGGGAGGCAGCAGUGAGGAAUAUUGGUCAAUGGACGAGAGUCUGAACCAGCCAAGUAGCGUGAAGGAUGACUGCCCUAUGGGUUGUAAACUUCUUUUAUAUGGGAAUAAAACGUUCCACGUGUGGGAUUUUGUAUGUACCAUAUGAAUAAGGAUCGGCUAACUCCGUGCCAGCAGCCGCGGUAAUACGGAGGAUCCGAGCGUUAUCCGGAUUUAUUGGGGUUAAAGGGAGCGUAGGUGGAUUGUUAAGUCAGUUGUGAAAGUUUGCGGCUCAACCGUAAAAUUGCAGUUGAAACUGGCAGUCUUGAGUACAGUAGAGGUGGGCGGAAUUCGUGGUGUAGCGGUGAAAUGCUUAGAUAUCACGAAGAACUCCGAUUGCGAAGGCAGUUCACUGGACUGCAACUGACACUGAGGUUCGAAAGUGUGGGUAUCAAACAGGAUUAGAUACCCGAGUAGUC
rnacentral:rRNA from 1 species